rnacentral:rRNA from 1 species
GACGAACGCUGGCGGCGUGCUUAACACAUGCAAGUCGAACGGAAAGGCCCUGCUUUUGUGGGGUGCUCGAGUGGCGAACGGGUGAGUAACACGUGAGUAACCUGCCCUUGACUUUGGGAUAACUUCAGGAAACUGGGGCUAAUACCGGAUAGGAGCUCCUGCUGCAUGGUGGGGGUUGGAAAGUUUCGGCGGUUGGGGAUGGACUCGCGGCUUAUCAGCUUGUUGGUGGGGUAGUGGCUUACCAAGGCUUUGACGGGUAGCCGGCCUGGGAGGGUGACCGGCCACAUUGGGACUGAGAUACGGCCCAGACUCCUACGGGAGGCAGCAGGGGGGAAUAUUGCACAGUGGGCGGAAGCCUGAUGCAGCAGCGCCGCGUGCGGGAUGACGGCCUUCGGGUUGUAAACCGCUUUCGCCUGUGACGAAGCGUGAGUGACGGUAAUGGGUAAAGAAGCACCGGCUAACUACGUG